AACCCUAACCAACGCACGCAUAUCUCCCCGUUCGGUCCUCUGCUGCGACCACGGCGGCGCGGCUGGGCUUGCUCGCCGGAGCGCGCCCGCGUGCGUAUUUCUAUGCGAGCGGCUCCGUCGAUCUCGCCUUGCCCACGUCGCGCGCGUGGCCGGGGCGGCUGCUGAACGCCGGCAGCCAGGACGCGCCAGCGGCGACGCGAGCCCCGGAGAUCUGUCGCCAACCACGCGCUAUCCUCGUUCCCUCCGCCGUCAGCGAAGCACCGGAGAGCCGACCAGCAGGAUGAGAUGGCGGCCAUGGGAGUGCGGUUCGCCGGCCACCAGCUCCGGGCCCUCCUCCACAUCGCCGCCGGCGACCUCGUCCACGACGACCUCGCGUCCAGCUUGCCGUGCAGGUCAAUGGAGCAACUUGUGGCAGAUCUUGCUACUACUGUUGUCAGCAUGCUACUAGUAGGACCUCUACUUUUAGAAGGACUUAGGGAUCGUCCUGUUGGUUGGUUCAUGUGUGGCGCCCUUGCUACCCGUGUUCACCACCGACGAGUCUGAAGCGGGACAGGACGCCGCUGUCCUGCUUCUUGGCCGUGGACGACCUCGAGCACAAGGUCUCCAGGAUGGGCACCCUUGCCGGCAUCACCAGCAAGUUCAGGGUUGAGGACUGAGAAGCGGAGCCGGAGGUGGCCGAAGGAGGUAGCGGUGGUGGCCUUCUUCCUCUAGUCUUGGUGGUUUAGGUGCAUAAGUGUGUGCGGUCUGCCGGCUGUUGGGCUGGCUUUGGCAGCGAGUUCGCAGCGCCACAACCGUCGUGGUGCUAUCUUGGCUUUGUCUACAAUUCUCUCAGGACGGAGAAGCAGGGCUGGAGCUAGCCACAGGAGGUAGCGGCGGUGGCCUUCUUCCUCUAUGUAUCGGUUGUUCAGAUUAUGCUUGUUCUGGUGCAAGGGAGGGAUCCGGUAGAAAUUCGAGAUGUGCUGUCUCCGGGGUUUGUGCUGCUGGUGCAGUGUUUCAAGUCUUGUAAAAUCCGGUGAAGAUUUUGUAACCAGAGCAGAAGGUUGUAAUGGAGUGUAAUUGUUUCGUUUGCAUGUGUGCAAUAUAUUAAUUUGCAUUGCGGUCGUCUUUAA